AUGGAGAAGCUUGUUUCUAGCUGGUACAAUAAUGUUCAACCCUUGCCGGAGACUUACAUAUUCCCACCCGAAGCAAGACCAGGGAAGCUUAGCAAUCUUCCUUCAUCUGAUAACAUUCCAGUUAUUGAUCUUGGUGGGGGUGGAGCACAAGGUCAUGAUCGCACUCGUAUAGUUGAGCAAGUACUAGGUGCUAGCGAAGAGUUCGGAUUUUUUCAGGUAAUCAACCAUGGCAUAUCAGAAAACUUGUUGAAUGACACCAUGGAUGUGUUCAGGGAGUUUUUUGCGUUGCCUCCAGAGGACAAGGCAAGCUUAAUCUCUGAGGACCCCAAUAAACUCUGCAGGCUCAUAACUAGCACUGGAAAUUAUGAUAGGGAGAAUGUUCAUCUUUGGCGCGAUGCUCUCCGACACCCUUGUCAUCCUUUAGAGAAAUUCAUUCCGCUUUGGCCUCAACAACCGCUUAAAUAUCGAGAGCAUGUUGGCAAAUGUUCCCAACCCAAGUGAGGAAAGUAGCUUUGAGCAUUUUGGAGUUGAUCAGUGAAGGACUUGGGGUUGGAUAUGGGCACUUCAAUGAUGAACUAAGCCAAGAGACUCUACUGUCAGUUAAUUACUAUCCACCUUGCCCAGACCCAAGUUUGACAUUAGAAAUAACUAAACACUGUGACCCAAACCUCAUCACAAUUUUACUUCAAGGGGAUGUACAUGGCCUUCAGGUUUUUAAAGAGGGGGAAUGGAUUGGUGUGGAACCUCUUCCACAUGGACUAGUGGUUAACAUAGGCUAGUGGUUACAGAUGCAGAUCAUAAGUAAUGGGAAACUGAAAUGUGCUGAACAUCGAGCAGUGACGAAUUCAACCAAUGCUCGGACAUCUGCUGCAUUUUUCAUUGCACCUUCCCAAGACUGCCAUAUACAACCUGCAACAGCUCUUAUCAAUGCAAGCAAUCCUAAAGUCUAUAAGGGCUUCCAAUACAAAGAGUUCCUUUCCAACUACCUAAUGAAGCAGGGCAAUACCAAAGUUGUACUUGAGCCGUUUAAACUCUAA